CACGAACCGUACGAACGUUAUUCGGAAUUACUGGGCGUAAAGGGCUCGUAGGCGGCCAACUAAGUCAGACGUGAAAUCCCUCGGCUUAACCGGGGAACUGCGUCUGAUACUGGAUGGCUUGAAUCCGGGAGAGGGAUGCGGAAUUCCAGGUGUAGCGGUGAAAUGCGUAGAUAUCUGGAGGAACACCGGUGGCGAAGGCGGCAUCCUGGACCGGCAUUGACGCUGAGGCGCGAAAGCCAGGGGAGCAAACGGG
rnacentral:rRNA from 1 species